rnacentral:rRNA from 1 species
AUUGAACGCUGGCGGCAUGCCUUACACAUGCAAGUCGAACGGCAGCACGGGUGCUUGCACCUGGUGGCGAGUGGCGAACGGGUGAGUAAUACAUCGGAACAUGUCCUGUAGUGGGGGAUAGCCCGGCGAAAGCCGGAUUAAUACCGCAUACGAUCUACGGAUGAAAGCGGGGGACCUUCGGGCCUCGCGCUAUAGGGUUGGCCGAUGGCUGAUGAGCUAGUUGGUGGGGUAAAGGCCUACCAAGGCGACGAUCAGUAGCUGGUCUGAGAGGACGACCAGCCAAACUGGGACUGGAACACGGCCCAGACUCCUACGGGAGGCAGCAGUGGGGAAUUUUGGACAAUGGGCGAAAGCCUGAUCCAGCAAUGCCGCGUGUGUGAAGAAGGCCUUCGGGUUGUAAAGCACUUUUGUCCGGAAAGAAAUCCUUGGCCCUAAUACGGUCGGGGGAUGACGGUACCGGAAGAAUAAGCACCAGCUAACUACGUG